AUGUGGCGAUGGGCGUCUCAUGAAUGAACAAUUGGAGGCUUUGCAGAAGAAGAGCACGGAGAACACCCCUCUUCCUUUACAACUAAAAUUGAAUUUACAGGUGAUCGAUUCAUGAAGUUUAAGUGUUUAUCAAAUUGAAUGCAAGGGUGAUUAGGAUUUUACAGGAUUCUAUUUGCUUAGUGUCAUAAUAUUUAAACUGCCGAUGAUCUUCUUGAAUGUUAAUUGUUAUUCCUUUCAGCUAAGAAGUUGUUACUUUGAAUGUGUUUUCGACAAAGGAACCUACCACUUUGAUGUGUUAGUAUUAGAAUGAAAAAUACUUGCAAUUUCAGUUUGCAUCUACACUCUGAUGCUCAUGGUUUUGAUGUACAUCUAAUGCUUAUGGUUUUGAAGUACAUAUCAGUGCACAACUGUUAACGUAUGAUUCAUAUAGAACUUGAUGAAUUCCAGAGUUAUACUUUCAUGAUUUCAUAAGAUAUUUGACUCAAAAAUUCAGUUCCAAUUUGACGAGCAAGCUGUCUUAGAAAAUUGACAGCUGAAGGCAUGAAUGGCUGAAGGUGACUGUUUCAUUUCUUAUAAUCAAUAGCUACAAACUUCUUCUAGCUCUAAAAUGAGGCAUAAUGCAACUUAUGCCAGUAAGUGGAGGAUGCCUCAAAAGAGUGUGGUGACUGCUUUGAAAAGGCAUCACGUCCUAACAUAAACGAAGAGGAGAAAAGGAAGAUCCUUCACAUUGUGAUUAUUAGUGGUGGACCCACUUGAGUUGAAUUUGGUGCAGAGUUGAAUGUUUUUCUUGUCGAAGUAAUGGUGAAGCUAUAUCCUGCAAUUGAAGAAUUUUUUAAGAUAAGAAUUAUUCAGCCACGAGAGCAUAUAUUGAAUAUGUAGGUCAGUAUUAACUUACCAGAUAAUGAGCAUUCAUCAAUCCUGCAGUAAUAGCUAAAAUAACUAUUAUAUGUUAACCGCUCAUCACUAAGAUUAUGUUUUGGUAUGAAUAACAAUCCGCCAGGGAAAUAAAUGUAUUUGAAGGUCUGCUUCCAUGCACAGAUAAUGAGGUUGUACUGCUGGUUCACAUAUAAGAGACUAGAACAUGCAUGCUGCAGGUAGUGAGCUCCGAGCUAAUCAUCUCCUGGGAUAAUUCUUAAAUACUGUCAGAAAAAGUGAACAAUUUGGAACAUUUUGUAUUAUUAGGAAAAUAGUUUAGUCAUCAGAAGUGGAACAUAUAUCCUGAUCAUUUAUUUCUUACGAGGAUAGAUUGAACAAGACCACCUUACCUCCAUGCUCCAAACAAUGCCAGCGUAGGAUUAACUCUUAACAAAUAUUAUCAGUAGUUUUUGGAUUGUGGCAAUUUCUUCCCUGUUCUUCCCCCCCUUUUGCUUUUCUUUUUAAAUGAAUGUUCCUGACUUCUAUGAAAUUACCAUGUUUACUGUAGACAUUGCAAUCAUGUUGGGAAUACGACGUUUUGUUGAUUUGACAAGGAAUUUUUUCCUACUGUUUCAAUAUACAUGCCCUCCAUUGUAGCAUUGGUAGAUCUUCUCUUUUCUCCAUGUGUACUAUGAGAUGAUAUAUCUAUUUCUAUGAAAUAUAACUGUGUUUUCUGAAACAAAGUUGCAAAGAGAUGGCAUCGAGUUGACUAUGGAUUCAGAGUGAUAAAGUUUUCUGAUGAUUCGGUUGCAGCGAAGUGCAAAUCAGCUCGUGGAGGAUCAUUGGUUCCGUAUGGGAUGGAUGUUUGGUCUACUGGCAUAGGUGCUCAUCUCUUGACUAGGCUGGUGUCUGGUUGGUUUCAUAGAUUUAAUUAGGUCCAAAUUGAGUGGUUUAUCAAGGUCAGAUGUGAGAAAAUAGGAUGAGAAUUGGUGUAUGGCCAGCACUUGGGUCUGUCAUCGAGGUCUCUCUUUCUAUCGCGUUGCAGGUUGAUUUGACUCCACACAGCGUCUGCAUCUCGCUCAAUGUUGAAAAUGCUGGCUUGGAGCGUGUCUCUAAAGUAUUGCUGGCUUUUCCGAACAUCUAAGCAAGAAACAGGGCAUCAAUCAGGGCAUUUGGUACCGAGGGGAAAGUGAAGGGCCUGAGUAUUGUUCUUCCGAUUGAAGUUGUUGAACCUUGUGAUGUGCCCCGGGAACUCGCUUUCUUUCAGCAUCUUAAACAAAGCUUUGAAUACUAUGCUAGCAGUUUGUAGUUGUGCUCUGGAUACAUGUUCCCUCAUUUGUAAUAGACAUUAUUUUUCUUUGUUUCUACAUUAAUUAAUGGAUCUAAGGUAGUUAGACGCA